rnacentral:rRNA from 1 species
ACUUCGGUUUGGGUGGCGGACGGGUGAGUAACGCGUAAAGAACUUGCCUCACAGUUAGGGACAACAUUUGGAAACGAAUGCUAAUACCUGAUAUUAUGAUUUUAGGGCAUCCUAAGAUUAUGAAAGCUAUAUGUGCUGUGAGAGAGCUUUGCGUCCCAUUAGCUAGUUGGAGAGGUAACGGCUCACCAAGGCGAUGAUGGGUAGCCGGCCUGAGAGGGUGAACGGCCACAAGGGGACUGAGACACGGCCCUUACUCCUACGGGAGGCAGCAGUGGGGAAUAUUGGACAAUGGACCAAAAGUCUGAUCCAGCAAUUCUGUGUGCACGAUGACGUUUUUCGGAAUGUAAAGUGCUUUCAGUUGGGAAGAAAAAAAUGACGGUACCAACAGAAGAAGUGACGGCUAAAUACGUGCCAGCAGCCGCGGUAAUACGUAUGUCACAAGCGUUAUCCGGAUUUAUUGGGCGUAAAGCGCGUCUAGGUGGUUAUGUAAGUCUGAUGUGAAAAUGCAGAGCUCAACUCUGUAUUGCGUUGGAAACUGCAUGACUAGAGUACUGGAGAGGUAAGCGGAACUACAAGUGUAGAGGUGAAAUUCGUAGAUAUUUGUGGGAAUGCCGAUGGGGAAGCCAGCUUACUGGACAGAUACUGACGCUAAAGCGCGAAAGCGUGGGUAGCAAACAGGAUUAGAUACCCUGGUAGUCCACGCCGUAAACGAUGAUUACUAGGUGUUGGGGGUCGAACCUCAGCGCC